rnacentral:sRNA from 1 species
UAUGUCCUGUUUCAAAUAUAUAUAUGAAUAAUUGUACGAAUAGACAAUUGUGUUCAUAGCUAGAGUACGUAAGGAAAAGGAAAGGUUAACCGCUAUCAAAUGGCGAGAAGGGAAGUGUGUUUCCAUAGAA